AGCGAGCCAAGAUCUCGCCACUGCACGCCAGCCUGGGCAACAGAGCGAGACUACAUCUCAGAAAAAAAAACAGUGAUCUUUAGCCAGAAGGAAAAUGGUCCCAUUCAGAAUCAGAGAUACCUCAAGUGAUGAAGCACAGAUUCGUAGAAAUGUGUCUUUCAGAAACCCCCACCCGGUGGAAAAUGCCGACUGCUAUCACAGAGACCCAGAUAAGGGGGAACUGAGGACUGAACUCUGGCCGUGUUCUCUGUCAUGAAUUUCUUCUUGAGGGGCCUGGAGGGAGUCACAGCUGUGAGCCACUAAUGUGUGCCCCCAUGCACACAGCACCCUUGGCAUAACUAACUCCAUCUUAGAGACUCCAUUGUAUAUCUUACAGGGCACUUGGCCAACAAAGGUAAGAUGUUUUGCUUAAUAAACAAGUUAAAAAUAAAGCCUGCAUCCAAACAGAUGAGGACGCAAGCAAGCGCACUCUUCAGAUGUCACUUCUCACGGGAGGCCUCUGUGAUUGCAGAAGGAAAGGCCCCAGCAGAACUCACCAUCUGCCGCCUGAGGCUCCACCACCUCGAAGACAUCCUUGCAAGAUCCACAGACUGGCCCAGACCAGGAGGUUUCUGUCUUCUUCUUGUGUCUUCUUCACUCUCCUGGACUGGUUCGUGAACCCUUUCUCCUAUCUCUGUUUCCUCUGGAUGUUAAGUGCUACUUUCUUUGUUGUGGAACGUUAACCUGUAACAUGUAUAUACUGAUUAAGUACACUAUUACGUUGUCGUGUGCAAUAUUGGCUGACAUGUGCAGUGGCUUGAGCCCGUGUGACCGCAGCUCUCACUACUGAGGGAAAGGAGCACUAAGCAGCAUGCCUCCUUGGGAACGCCGUGUGGCUCGUGGCUUUAGGGAUUGAAAUAGCCUCAAUAAAAUUCUGACAUUGUGAAAGACA